rnacentral:rRNA from 1 species
AUUGAACGCUGGCGGCAGGCCUAACACAUGCAAGUCGAACGAGUGGCGGACGGGUGAGUAAUGUCUGGGAAUCUGCCUGAUGGAGGGGGAUAACUACUGGAAACGGUAGCUAAUACCGCAUACCAUCGGAUGUGCCCAGAUGGGAUUAGCUUGUUGGUGGGGUAACGGCUCACCAAGGCGACGAUCCCUAGCUGGUCUGAGAGGAUGACCAGGAACACUGGAACUGAGACACGGUCCAGACGCCUACGGGAGGCAGCAGUGGGGAAUAUGGCAAAAGGGGGGAAAGACUGAUGCAGCAAGGCGGCGUGUAUGAAGAAGGCCGUCGGGUUGGAAAGUACUUUCAGCGGGGAGGCGGUACCAGCAGAAGAAGCACCGGCUAACUCCGUGCCAGCCGCCGCGGUAAUAC